AUUGCUUCCCAGCCUUUUGGUUAAGAUCAAGUACAGUAUCUGUUCUUAUUAGUAGUAUCUUUAGUUAAAUGUUACUUUUACUGGACUGCCUCCUUGAUGAGAAACUUUU
rnacentral:snRNA from 1 species